AGUAAAUAUUUUUUUAAUGAAUUCAUUAUAUUGUUAUAUUAUUGGUUGUCUUUCCAAAUUUGUAAUGUCUAUCCUCUGAAGGGGUUGAUGCAUGACCUUACAAAGUAAUGUUGUGUUUUUCCUUUCUUAUGUAGAAGUUUUUUUUUACCUGUUUGUUUCUUGAUUUCUCAGGUUGUCCAGAGUUUGCUGGUCUGCCUUGAUAGUCCUGAACUUCCUUUCUUACAAUGGCAAGAAUGCUUCUCUAUGAAAACCAGGCUUUCCAAAGAGCUUAGGAAUGAAUUGGAAUCGAAAUAUAAAGAUUUUGAAGGAAUUACCUAUAUAAUUGAAUUUCCUGCUAAGUUGUUGAAAAGUGUUCUUGAGAAAUGUGCUUUCAGGGACUUGUGUACUGGAAAAGGCAUCGAUUCCACUGGCGCCCGAAUCAGAUGAUGCAAUCAGCAGAACAACGUGUGGAGCAACUAAUCAAAAAACCAAUUUCACAUAUUGGUGAAAAUGCAUUCAGAGAAUGAUCCUUCAAGUGAAGAGGCAAUCGCAACCAGCCAACCGCAAAGGAGAUGCUUCAUACUAAACAUGUCUUGGUCGAGGUAGGGCCGACAACAUCCCUCUCCAAGAGAAAUUCUCUCCAAUGGUGUCUUAAUCAAGUGACCUCAUAACAGCCGGCGUUAUAGGGUAAUGUAGAGGAGGCUUUGAAGGUUGCGGCCAAAGAGUAAACGCUUUUAGAAAGGCCUCCCUUUUUUAUAUGUGCAAUCUCUGAUAUAAUCAAUAUUAUGUAGGUGUGCAAGAUCCAUUAGAAUCAAUAUUAUGUUUUGUGAAAGCUAAUUAGUACCGAAAUCAUAUACUAUGUACCCCUUUUGCAAGAAACCAUUAUUUAUGUUGCAUGACUUCGGUACUUAAAACUAACA